CGUGAAAUGAGUUUUCUCAUGGAAUUUUUUACACCCAAAAGGUGUGUGAUGCCUUCUUUUGAUCCUCUUUGGAUUAGAGUUUGGUUGGUUCAAGUUUGGCUUCAAAUUGGUUUGAAAUUAGAUUAGAAUCAAGAGUCUAAGUCUUAUGGGACUCCUCCAAGCCGCCAACCACUUCUCUUCUCAUGUGCAAAAUAAAUUUUUACAUGAUGUUUUUUAUGCUAAUAUGAC
rnacentral:lncRNA from 1 species